rnacentral:siRNA from 1 species
GCACCUAAAACCGCAAUGCAACA